UGGGGAAUUUUGGACAAUGGGCGAAAGCCUGAUCCAGCAAUGCCGCGUGUGUGAAGAAGGCCUUCGGGUUGUAAAGCACUUUUGUCCGGAAAGAAAUCCUUGGCUCUAAUACAGUCGGGGGAUGACGGUACCGGAAGAAUAAGCACCGGCUAACUACGUGCCAGCAGCCGCGGUAAUACGUAGGGUGCAAGCGUUAAUCGGAAUUACUGGGCGUAAAGCGUGCGCAGGCGGUUUGCUAAGACCGAUGUGAAAUCCCCGGGCUCAACCUGGGAACUGCAUUGGUGACUGGCAGGCUAGAGUAUGGCAGAGGGGGGUAGAAUUCCACGUGUAGCAGUGAAAUGCGUAGAGAUGUGGAGGAAUACCGAUGGCGAAGGCAGCCCCCUGGGCAAUACUGACGCUCAUGCACGAAAGCGUGGGGAGCAAACAGGAUUAGAUACCCUGGUAGUCCACGCCCUAAACGAUGUCAACUAGUUGUCGGGUCUUCAUUGACUUGGUAACGUAGCUAACGCGUGAAGUUGACCGCCUGGGGAGUACGGUCGCAAGAUUAAAACUCAAAUGAAUUGACGGGGUCAUAGCUGUUUCCU
rnacentral:rRNA from 1 species